GAAUGGCACAUUCCCUGGACCCUUGUAGGCCAUAACAAAGAAAAACCCAUGCUAUCAUCCCACAAAUUCCCAACCAAUCUUUCAUGAAUAACCGGACAAAAUAACCAAGAGCUGAUGCUGUCAGUCACUUGUUUCUAUUGAACAGUUCUUACAAAUAAAAGUCCUGACUGGUUCUAAGUCGAAGAAGGCGCUUCUGUAUUUAGGUAACACAGUUGUUACGGAAUUGUUCAAAU
rnacentral:sRNA from 1 species